GGUGUAUGGUUAAAAUUUCACAAUUUUUGGAUACCGUUUGGUAGGGUUUUUUUAUUUUUCUCUCAAGAUCGCUUUGUGCUGAUUUAGUCCGUUUUUGGUUUCGUCUUUGCGAUGAGUUUUUACUGUUCCAAGGAACUUAUGUAGGUACUCUUGUCACAAGUUGACUUGGGUAUUUUAGAUUCGAGAACUCACUUCUCUUCAAUAGGAGUUGCGUAUCUCUUCUUCUCUCCUUAUUCGGAAAAGUGAU
rnacentral:lncRNA from 1 species